rnacentral:rRNA from 1 species
CCCGCUGAACUUAAGCAUAUCAAUAAGCGGAGGAAAAGAAACCAACAGGGAUUGCCUCAGUAACGGCGAGUGAAGCGGCAACAGCUCAAAUUUGAAAUCUGGCCUCUGGCCCGAGUUGUAAUUUGCAGAGGAUGUUUCUGGCGAGGUGCCUUCCGAGUUCCCUGGAACGGGACGCCAUAGAGGGUGAGAGCCCCGUACGGUUGGUCGCUAAGCCUCUGUGAAACUCCUUCGACGAGUCGAGUAGUUUGGGAAUGCUGCUCUAAAUGGGUGGUAAAUUCCAUCUAAAGCUAAAUACUGGCAAGAGACCGAUAGCGCACAAGUAGAGUGAUCGAAAGAUGAAAAGAUCUCUGAACAGAGAGUUAAAUAGUACGUGAAAUUGUUGAAAGGGAAGCACUUGCUACCAGACACACUUGCAAUUAAUCAACCUCCAUUUUUGGUGGUGCACUUGGUUGUAGGUGGGUCAGCAUCAGUUAUAGCGGUAGGAAAAAGACUGUGGGAAUGUGGCUUCUCCUGGGAAGUGUUAUAGCCCAAAGUGUAAUGCUGCCUGCUGUGACUGAGGACCGCGCUUCGGUGAGGAUGCUGGCAUAAUGGUUGUAAGUGACCCGUCUUGAAACACGG